rnacentral:rRNA from 1 species
UCGAGGAUCUUCGGCAAUGGGCGAAAGCCUGACCGAGCGACGCCGCGUGCGGGAUGAAGGCCUUCGGGUUGUAAACCGCCGUCGUAGGGGAGGAAAUGCUGGUGGGUUCUCCCAUCAGUUUGACCUAUCCUAAGAGGAAGUACGGGCUAAGUUCGUGCCAGCAGCCGCGGUAAGACGAACCGUACGAACGUUAUUCGGAAUCACUGGGCUUAAAGGGUGCGUAGGCGGCCCGGAAAGUUGGGGGUGAAAGCCCUCGGCUCAACCGAGGAAUUGCGCCCAAAACUACCGGGCUCGAGGGAGACAGAGGUGAGCGGAACUUAGGGUGGAGCGGUGAAAUGCGUUGAUAUCCUAAGGAACACCAGGAGCGAAAGCGGCUCACUGGGUCUCUUCUGACGCUGAGGCACGAAAGCUAGGGGAGCGAACG